UACGGAGGGGGCUAGCGUUGUUCGGAAUUACUGGGCGUAAAGCGCGCGUAGGCGGUGAUCUUUGUCAGAGGUGAAAUCCCGAGGCUCAACUUCGGAAUUGCCUUUGAAACGGGAUCGCUUGAGUCCGAGAGAGGAUGGCGGAAUUCCUAGUGUAGAGGUGAAAUUCGUAGAUAUUGGGAGGAACACCAGUGGCGAAGGCGACCACCUGGACGACAACUGACGCUGAGGCGCGAGAGCGUGGGGAGCAAACAGG
rnacentral:rRNA from 1 species